rnacentral:rRNA from 1 species
UAAAACCAACUCCCUGAGUGGUGGGGAAGAUUAUUGGGCUUAAAGCGUUCGUAGCCGGCCUGAUUAGUCCCGCGUUAAAUCCAGCGACCUAAUCGUUGGGCUGCGGGGGAUACGGUCAGGCUUGGGAGCGGGAGAGGUUAGCGGUACUCUAGGGGUAGGGGUGAAAUCCAGUAAUCCCUGGGGGACCACCAGUGGCGAAGGCUGCUAACCAGAACGCGUCCGACGGUGAUGGACGAAAGCUGGGGGAGCGAACCGGAUUAGAUACCCGGGUAGUCCCAGCCGUAAACGAUGCGGGCUAGCUGUUGGGAUGGCUACGAGCCAUCUCAGUGGCGCAGGGAAACCGUUAAGCCCGCCGCCUGGGAAGUAUGAUCGCAAGAUUG